UCUCUGCUCAAAAAGACAAGUAGAAGAAGAACCCUCGAAUCCUUCUACAAAUUUCUCACUUUCUCAGAGCUCCAAGUACAGAUGGAGCCAGGUUUGAAGCUAAUCCUGGUCCAAGGCCCACGCUCUGGCGAAACGCUUGAGUUUGAACCGGGAGCCACCAUCCGGAUCGGGCGAAUUGUGCGCGGCAACAACGUUACGAUAAAGGACGCCGGCAUCUCCUCCAAGCACCUUAUAAUCGGAUUCGAAUCCGGGAAAUGGACUGUCCAAGAUCUGGGCUCCUCCAACGGCACCGCCCUCAACUCCUCCAAACUCCCCCCUCAUACGCCCGUCGAACUCCACGAAAACGACACAGUUAAACUCGGAGAGUACACCUCGAUCUCAAUCAAGUUAAUGACGGAAAACAGCCACGAGGAGUCGGUGAAGCCGAGAAGGAAUCCUACGCGUCAAGUGAACGUGAGAGCCACUAGAUCUAGGAGUAAGAAGAAUGAAGAGUGUUUGGAGAAUGAGGGAUUAAUUGAGUGUGGAGCGGUGGAGAAAGAGGUUAAGAUUACAAGAAAGGGUAGGGGAAAGAGAAAGAUUUUACAAGAAAUGCCACCAGAGAAUAGUGAAGUUGUUCAAAUUGAAGGCGAAGAGGAAUUGAAACCGCAGCAAAUGCCAGCGGAGGGUGAGAGAGUUCAAAUUGUUGAUAAAGGAAGAGUGAAAGAUAUUAAAGAGAAUGAUGUAAAAAUUAUCCGAAAGGGUAGGGGAAGGCAGAAAGCUUUAAAGGAAAUGCCACUGGAGAGUUGUGAAGUUAAAAUUGAAGGUAAAGAGAAUUUGGAAGCGGAGCAAGUGCCAGGAGAGAGAGAUGAAGUUCAAACUAUGGAUAAAGAAAACGUGAAAGAUGUUAAAGAGAAAUAUGUCAAAAUAACGCGUAAGGCUAGAACCAGGAGGAAAGGUCUCCAGGAAAUGCCACGGGAAAGUAGUGAAGUUCAAAUUAAAGAUAGAGAGAAUUUGAAUUCACAGAAAAUGCCACGAGAGAGUGAUGAAGUUCACAUCGUCGAUAAAGAGAACACGAAAUUAGUAGAAGUAAGUGGCAGAGAUGUUAAAGAGAUUAGUAGUAAUAGGGUUGAAGAUAAAGAAAAUGUAGAAUUAGGAGAAGUAAGUGGUGGAGAUGUCAAAAAGAGUAGUUGUAAUAAGGUUGAAGAUAAAGAAAAAUUUGGGGAUUUGGAGACAAUGACUCUGGAGCAGUGGUUCCAUUACAUGGAGGUUUAUUUGCCAAAGCAGAUAAUUGAAGCGACUGAGGAGAUGAUAGUGGGGAUGAAAAUGAAGGCGGAGAGAGUUCGUCAGUAUGUGAUAGAGGAAAAGAAGAAGAAGGGCAAACAAUUAUGGUGCGUGAUCGGAUUAGAAUGGAAAUGUUAGCACCAAAGGAGAGGGAGAACUAUAGAUCAUGUUGGAGAUUAGGUGUUUUCCUGAGAGACCUAUGACAUUUUGGCGAUCACAAAGUAUGGAAAGAGUCCGACUAGUAAAAUCAAUACGUUUUCUGGUUAUUCAUUGAUAUCAACUAAUGUGGUUGAGAUCGCUCUGAUCUAUUGGCAGUUCGGCGGAUCUGGUCCUGAAUUUUAGACGAUGGGCUCCAUUUGAAUUGACUGAUUAAGGGAGUAUAACUUGCAUUGUACAGCUAAGUUUAGCAUUAUCUUCCCUUGAUUGCUCAUCUUUCUAAUUCUAUUCGGAUCAAUGCUUUAGAUUCCAUGUCUAUUUACUAAGUGGUCCAAUAGUUUCACUGUUAAAAUUUAGGUGUUACAUUGGAUAACUGAAAUCUCAACCCAUUUUCAGAGACAACUCUUUUACCUGUAUUUGUAAAAUGUAGAUAGGGAUUUGAAAUGCAAGCUUUGAUGUCAGUUAUUUAUUUGCU